rnacentral:rRNA from 1 species
UACGUAGGGUGCAAGCGUUGUCCGGAAUUAUUGGGCGUAAAGAGCUCGUAGGCGGUCUGUCGCGUCGGCUGUGAAAACUCGGGGCUCAACCCCGAGCCUGCAGUCGAUACGGGCAGACUAGAAUUCGGUAGGGGAGACUGGAAUUCCUGGUGUAGCGGUGAAAUGCGCAGAUAUCAGGAGGAACACCGGUGGCGAAGGCGGGUCUCUGGGCCGAUAUUGACGCUGAGGAGCGAAAGCGUGGGGAGCGAACAGG